UUGUAGUCUGCAACUCGACUACAUGAAGCUGGAAUCGCUAGUAAUCGUAGAUCAGCAUGCUACGGUGAAUACGUUCCCGGGUCUUGUACACACCGCCCGUCACACCACGAGAGUUUGUAACACCCGAAGCCGGUGGAGUAACCUUUUAGGAGCUAGCCGUCGAAGGUGGGACAAAUGAUUGGGGUGAAGUCGUAACAAGGUAGCCGUAUCGGAAGGUGCGGCUGGAUCACC
rnacentral:rRNA from 1 species